ACAAUUCGAACACCAAUUCCCUUCCUUUUCAAUUUGCUGUUUCUGGGUUUUUGUUUGCAGACUUGAAAAGCUUUAUGGUGGGAAGGCCCAUGUCGGCCUUCGGAUUCCCGAUGCUGACACCGGCACUCGACAGAACAUUGAUCGGGUUCUCCUCACCAAAGGAGGGGCAGUGGUUGUAUCUGUCAAGAAUCUUGUUGGAUUUGUGUUGAUCAAUGCGGAUGGUAGCUGGUCGUGUGAGACCAAAAACAAAACAGAACAUCUUCCUAACCCAGU